rnacentral:rRNA from 1 species
GACGAACGCUGGCGGCGUGCUUAACACAUGCAAGUCGAACGGAAAGGCCCUGCUUUUGUGGUGUGCUCGAGUGGCGAACGGGUGAGUAACACGUGAGUAACCUGCCCUUUACUUUGGGAUAACUUCAGGAAACUGGGGCUAAUACCGGAUAUUAGCUCCUGCUGCAUGGUGGGGGUUGGAAAGUUUCGGCGGUUGGGGAUGGACUCGCGGCUUAUCAGCUUGUUGGUGGGGUAGUGGCUUACCAAGGCUUUGACGGGUAGCCGGCCUGAGAGGGUGACCGGCCACAUUGGGAAUGAGAUACGGCCCAGAAUCCUACGGGAGGCAGCAGUGGGGAAUAUUGCACAAUGGGAGGAAGCCUGAUGCAGCAACGCCGCGUGCGGGAUGACGGCCUUCGGGUUGUAAACCGCUUUCGCCUGUGACGAAGCGUGAGUGACGGUAAUGGGUAAAGAAGCACCGGCUAACUACGUG